GACGAACGCUGGCGGCGUGCUUAACACAUGCAAGUUGAACGGAAAGGCCCUGCUUUUGUGGGGUGCUCGAGUGGCGAACGGGUGAGUAACACGUGAGUAACCUGCCCUUGACUUUGGGAUAACUUCAGGAAACUGGGGCUAAUGCCGGAUAGGAGCUCCUGCUGCAUGGUGGGGGUUGGAAAGUUUCGGCGGUUGGGGAUGGACUCGCGGCUUAUCAGCUUGUUGGUGGGGUAGUGGCUUACCAAGGCUUUGACGGGUAGCCGGCCUGAGAGGGUGACCGGCCACAUUGGGACUGAGAUACGGCCCAGACUCCUACGGGAGGCAGCAGUGGGGAAUAUUGCACAAUGGGCGGAAGCCUGAUGCAGCAACGCCGCGUGCGGGAUGACGGCCUUCGGGUUGUAAACCGCUUUCGCCUGUGACGAAGCGUGAGUGACGGUAAUGGGUAAAGAAGCACCGGCUAACUACGUG
rnacentral:rRNA from 1 species